rnacentral:rRNA from 1 species
GGGUCUGAGAGGAUGAUCCCCCACACUGGUACUGAGACACGGACCAGACUCCUACGGGAGGCAGCAGUGAGGAAUAUUGGUCAAUGGACGCAAGUCUGAACCAGCCAUGCCGCGUGCAGGAUGAAUGCCCUAUGGGUUGUAAACUGCUUUUCUACAAGAAGAAACUUCCUGAUGUAUCAGGAACUGACGGUAUUGUAGGAAUAAGCAUCGGCUAACUCCGUGCCAGCAGCCGCGGUAAUACGGAGGAUGCAAGCGUUAUCCGGAUUCAUUGGGUUUAAAGGGUGCGUAGGCGGGGUAGUAAGUCAGUGGUGAAAGCCUGCGGCUUAACCGUAGAAUUGCCAUUGAUACUGCUAUUCUUGAGUGCAGUUGAGGUAGGCGGAAUGUGUAAUGUAGCGGUGAAAUGCUUAGAUAUUACACAGAACACCGAUUGCGUAGGCAGCUUACUAAACUGUAACUGACGCUGAGGCACGAAAGCGUGGGGAGCGAACAGGAUUAGAUACCCUGGUAGUCCACGCUGUAAACUAUGAUCACUCGCUGUUGGCGAUACAUUGUCAGCGGCUGAGCGAAAGCAUUAAGUGAUCCACCUGGGGAGUACGGCCGCAAAGUUGAAACUCAAAGGAAUUGACGGGGGCCCGCACAAGCGGUGGAACAUGUGGUUUAAUUCGAUGAUACGCGAGGAACCUUACCUGGGCUUAAAUGCAGAACGACGUACCGGGAAACUGGUACUCCCUUCGGGGCGGACUGCAAGGUGCUGCAUGGUUGUCGACAGCUCGUGCCGUGAGGUGUCGGGUUAAGUCCCAUAACGAGCGCAACCCUCAUUGUUAGUUGCCAGCGAGUAAUGUCGGGGACUCUAACGAAACUGCCGGUGUAAACCGUGAGGAAGGUGGGGAUGACGUCAAAUCAGCACGGCCCUUAUGUCCAGGGCUACACACGUGUUACAAUGGCCAGUACAAAGGGCAGCUACCACGCGAGUGGAUGCUAAUCUCUAAAGCUGGUCUCAGUUCGGAUUGAAGUCUGCAACUCGACUUCAUGAAGCUGGAAUCGCUAGUAAUCGCGCAUCAGCCAUGGCGCGGUGAAUACGUUCCCGGGCCUUGUACACACCGCCCGUCAAGCCAUGGAAGCUUGGGGUACCUGAAGUCCGUAACCGAAAGGAUCGGCACUAGGGUAAAACAAGUGA